rnacentral:rRNA from 1 species
AACGAACGCUGGCGGCGCGCCUAAUACAUGCAAGUCGAACGAGAAGGUGUAGCAAUACACUUGUACAGUGGCGAACGGGUGAGGAAUGCAUGGGCAACCUACCCUCGAGUGGGGAAUAACCAGCCGAAAGGUUGGCUAAUACCGCGUACGCUUCCGGGUCUCCGGAUCCGGAAGGAAAGUCACACCGUGGGUGUGACGCUCAAGGAUGGGCUCAUGUCCUAUCAGCUUGNGGUGAGGUAACGGCUCACCAAGGCAACGACGGGUAGCUGGUCUGAGAGGACGAUCAGCCACACUGGCACUGCGACACGGGCCAGACUCCUACGGGAGGCAGCAGUAAGGAAUAUUGCGCAAUGGGCGAAAGCCUGACGCAGCGACGCCGCGUGGGGGAUGAAGGUCUUCGGAUUGUAAACCCCUUUUAGGAGGGAAAUGGGACGAGCAAUCGUCCGGAUGGUACCUCCAGAAAAAGCCACGGCUAACUUCGUGCCAGCAGCCGCCGCCGUAA